rnacentral:rRNA from 1 species
AUUGAACGCUGGCGGCAGGCUUAACACAUGCAAGUCGAGCGAGCGGCGGACGUGUGAGUAAUGUCUGGGAAACUGCCUGAUGGAGGGGGAUAACUACUGGAAACGGUAGCUAAUACCGCAUACCAUCAGAUGUGCCCAGAUGGGCUUAGCUAGUAGGUGGGGUAAUGGCUCACCUAGGCGACGAUCCCUAGCUGGUCUGAGAGGAUGACCAGCCACACGGGAACUGAGACACGGUCCAGACUCUGACGUGAGGCAGCAGUGGGGAAUAUUGCACAAUGGGCGCAAGCGUGAUGCAGCCAUGCCGAGUGUGUGAAGAAGGCCUUCGGGUUGUAAAGCACUUUCAGCGAGGAGGCGUUACUCGCAGAAGAAGCACCGGCUAACGCCGGGCCAGCAGCCGCGGUAAUAC